rnacentral:rRNA from 1 species
UAGUAUAUAGAUAUGGGCUUGAAAUCCAAAGGAUUUGGCGGCAUUUAAUUCUGGUUAGAGGAACUUGUGCUGUAAUCCAUAAACCGCGAAUAUCUAACUUUACUUUGUAUUUCAGUUUGUAUAUCGCCAUUAUUAGAUGAUCUUCAUAUAUAUUAUUAAAGUAUAAUAUUUCUCUUACAUUAGGUAAAGGUGCAGCUAAUAGUAAAGGUAGACCAUGAGUUACAUUAUUUUAAAAAUAUAUGGAUAAAUACUUGAAAUACUUGAUUGAAGGUGGAUUUGAUUGUAAAAUUUGUUUAGUAAACAUUUUUGAAAAAGCUCUUAAAUGCGUACACAUC